UUAACCUAUCUUUGGCAAUCCCUUCCCCAAAAGAUUUCGAACUCGUAUUCUCCCAACCGCGCACCCUAGCUCCCACCGCCGCACGUCGUCAGCUCCAGCUCUCCCUCCACCACCGUAAGUUCGUGACCCCACCCCUACCGACGUGACUCCGCCCAAAUUGACGUCCGCUCUUCCAUUUCACGCUAAAAGUAAGAUGAAGGGUCCAUCAAUAUCUGCUCGUCUUGACGAUUCUAAGAACUCAACUAAUCAGCAACUCCAUCUCUCGAUCCUCCAGUUCGCACUCGAUAUCUCUCUCUUUCUCUCGAAUGGGUACUUUCUGUAGGAAUUUGUGAAUUUGAGAAUUUGGGAACAAGUGAUUUUUUGUGCAACAUUUCGUUGUAAUGUGGGGUUUAGGCUUCAGGGAUUCCUAGGUUAUUGGUGGUUGCAGGUUCCUUGUUAUCUUGAUGAAGCAUCGGGGUGGGGAUUCGAAAUUUCUGAGCUGAAGAAGCAAUUGGAGUCUGCCUAGUCUAAGGGUAUUUCAGUUAGGGCGUUGGUAGGUAUAAAUCACGGCAAUCCUACUGGGCAUAUUUUCGUACUUCUUUUUUUCUGGCAUUAGGAUACUAUCGCGAGUGUGGAAAACGGGGAGGUUACAUGGAGAUUACUCGAUUUAGUGCUGAUAUGAGGAAACAGAUAUACAAAGUGGCAUAUGUUAAUCAUUGUUCUAAUAUUACCUGCCAGAUUCUUGCUAACCUUGUAAUGAAUCCACCAAAGAUAUUUUCUGAUAUCUGAGCACAACUAAAUAAAAAAUCAUUUGGAUUGUUAUAUGGCAAAACUGUCUGCUAGAAAGGGCUUUAAGUGUAGUGCUUAGGUUUGUAUUAAUUUCUUUUUCCUUGUUUGUUGAAGACUGAUGAUGAUUUGUGCAAGAUGGGGAUCUCAUUCAUAAAUCGUAUUGUGCAAAGAGAGAUGGAAUCCUCUCAUCUUUGGCAAGGCGUGCAAAGGAGCCUACUGUCAGACCCCCAAGUCGAUUGUCCCCCUUGACACCUGCCAAUAUUGACAAGCUUCGAAUAGCUCAACUAUGGUUGGAGCAAUCAACCUCAAAUACUCGUUGUCUUCCUCAUGAGUCGUUGCCUUCUUAUAUGAAACACAACACGAACUGUUCAACAAUGAGAUACCAACAAAAUCAUCAUUCUUCUUUUGCCAACGAGUUGGAAAGUUGAGGCAAAAGAAUCUUAACAAAUUGUUGUUCUAAUGAUGACUAUUUUUUGUCUCAUUUUUCUUAUUCUGCAUCUAGGGGCAAGGGAAAGAAAGAAGUAAAGACUUAAGAAAUUAAACGUGUGCUUUGGUUAUUUAUGAUACAAAUUGUCAUUGAUCUUAUAUUUAUGAACAGACCCAAACCACUUAAGAAUCAUGCUUGUAA